UUGUAUAGCUAGAAAAUUUUGGUCUUAAGUUUUUAACCUCUUAGAGAUAAGCCUUGUUGAUAUGAGACUAGCUGAAUUUCUUCUUGAGUCCCAGUGUCAGUAGUAGGCCCAAAUAUUUGAUUAAAUAUGCACUUAUGUCUUCUUCUACAUCCUCAUCAUCUAUAGGUAGAGUAUCUUUAUCAAUCUCAUCUUCUGAGUGGAUGACUCUAUACUCAUCUUAUAGAUUACCUUCAGAGGAGAACUAGGACCAUUGUUGAGAAUACAUUUCUUCUUGGAAUCAGUUGCUGACUGAACCCCUUACAAAAUUGAACUUUCCAAAUUUUCAAAAUCUGAACUUCCCUUUCCUUGCACAUUAACCUAUUUCUGCUGCAGAUCUUUUUUUUAAUAUCAUCCCUUUUAGUUUUGCUCCUUUUGCUAGUUUCUUUAUUGUUAAGCAGUUUGGGAAAACAUCUACCAUCAAUUGCUGGAUCUUUAUCAUGAUUCCAAUUCUUCUCACUAUCAGAACCAAUAAUCUGAGCCAUGUCCUUCCUUUGAUCUUUGGUCAACCUAAAACCAUACUCAUCCAUCUGAUUAUCACCUUCAUCACUAGUAAUACAACCAUAGCAGUUUUUUUUCUUUUCUGAAGAACUUGAUCAGUCAUAUGAGUGGUAAAAGAAGCAUGAAGGUCAAACCUAGGUUCAGCCAAUCCCCCUUCCCUAGAUACCCUAACCGGCAAGUUAGUAUUUUUCUCCUUUCCUCCAACCUCACCUUCAGUAACUACAAUAGCUACAUCAUCAGUCAAUAUAUUAAAUUUGUCAGGACGGGGUUGAUGGAGUAUUUACUCAAUACCAGAGGUCCCAUCUCUUGGGGCAUUUUCUUUUGCAAUGAUGGAAUUGUUUACCUGUUGAUUUGUUAUAUCUUGGGUCCUUUUGGAUAGGAUAUUUUCAACCCCUUUAUCAUUUUGACCAACAUACUUUUCAGCAUUUUACUUUUUCAGUAUUUUUCCCAGCUUCAAUCAUUGGCUUUUUGUUCAUCAGAUUGUUUUCUUUAUUUAUGGGAAUUUGAGGUCUGGGGUCAACAUGAUUAAUACCUUUAUGGGGUUAGGGUUGUUGAUUCUAUACUCCAGAAUCAACAUUAUAAUUUUUGGGUUGCUGGUUAUGUAAAUUAGAAGUUUUACCUGUUAGUUGUUGUGGCUGAAUCUCUUGGUCUACACCUUGUGGAGCCUUAGGAGAUCUAGGCUUAUUCACUUAUCGCAUUUUCCCUUGAUUGUGAUGUUGUUGAUUACCUUUAUAAGGUUGUUUUACCUGUUGUUGUUGUUGUUGUUGAACCUGUUGGUGGUGGUGUUGAACCUAUUACUGUUGUUGUUGUACCUGUUGUACCUAUUGUUGUUCUUGGUUAUAUUUCCUGGUUCUUCUUUUUUAAGUUUGCCACAGGUCGUCCUCCUGAUUGUUUUUUGUAUCACAGUUAUGAUGUUGACCUUGCGGUUUGUUGAGAUCCUGCGGAUCAUGCUCAUAUUCUUCUUUUUUAUUCUCACUGAUAUCCUGUAUUUAAGUUUUUCCUUAUUUCUCAGCCUCUUCUUUCCUUUUUCUAUUUUCCUCAUCUCUUAUUUUAAAAGUACAAGUCACACUAGUAUGCCCGUGGUGUUUACAAUAAUUACAAUAAUCAAGAACUUCUUUAUCUUGCACUGAUUGCCGUCUUUCUUCCAUAUUUUCAUCCUCAUCAUACCCCAUCCACACAUGUUGAGGUCUCUUUUGUGUCAAAUCAAUUUGAAUCUUAAUCUUAGCAACACUUCCUCUGUUUUUCAUAUAAGUAGCUAAGUCUAAGAAUAACACCUCGCCAAUAGGAGAUAGGAGUGGUUCAAGAAUUUCAAGGCAAUAAUAAUGCCAUGGGAGCUUAGGUAGUACAACCCAUAUAGGAACCAAAGGAGUUUCCUCCGCAGGUUUAAAAGUUGGAGUCAACAGUAGCACGUCAAACUCAUUCUCCAAGUCAAUGUAAAGAUGUCUAGAGUUAAAAUGAGUCAAUUUCACCCCUACUCUAAGCUCAGUUUGCGAAAAAAAAUAUUUCCUAAUCACCUCCAUCUUAGGCAUAGAAUUGGUAAAUUUCCCAGUUAAAGUAUACUUACAUCAUAUAGAAACCCUCACUUUAUAAUCCGUAAGAUUAAAACUAAUUGCAGGAUAUCCUUGCUUUGUGGUUAUUUUACGAGGGUUGAUAGGAAUCCAGGUUGUUUUCAUAGCCUCUUGUGCUCUCAAUUUGGCCACUAAAGCAUAAGAAAUAAUAGAAGCAGGUGGAGCAGGAUUUGGUGCUAGGUUUUUGAUUAGUUUGAUUAGGAUUUUCUUGAGUGCGGUUAUAGUUUUCAGCAUCUUCCGGAGGUACAUUAUCUCCCUGCUUAGGACUAUUUGGUUUAAAGGCUUUGAAAUUAUUUGAAACUUCUAACAGGGUAUCAUUAGAAACAUAAGAUUUUGGACACUUUUAAUAGGAUGUUUGGGGUUUGUUUGUUGGUUUUCAUGAGGAAUAUUUUUGGCUUUCUCACAUUCAAUAUCAUCAACCUCCUUACUAACCACUGUAACUUUACCAUUCUUAACAUUAUGCAAUUCCUUAAGCAUCUGACUAUUAGUGGAAUUAAGAUUGAGGGUCUCACCAGUGUAGGCAUAAAUAUGUUCGCAUUGUCCUCCUAAACAGUUUGGCAUUGAGCUUAACACAUUUUUUUGGACAUCCCACUGUCGCCAGAAUCGACAGCUUCGGCAGAGAUAAACUCUCCACCCAACCUCUCUAUAUUUUUGUGGGUAUGGGAGCUUUGAUUUACUAUUUCCAACCCUCUCAUUGAAUCAUGACCCAUUUUCUCCUCACUAUGCCGAAUUUGCAUUUGAGAGGACUUUGGGUCAGUCACAAUUUUGCCUACCUCACCUACUUUGAAAUUCUGAUUUUUGUCGGUGGACAUGGUUAAUUACCACCACUUGGAAUCAUUUGAAUAACACCUGUAUUCACAAGGGAUAUGGAUUGUUGAACACUACACUGUUUAUCUGAAAUUACCUUAGAGAUCGCUAUUUUGUUAUUCGAUUUCGCAAUGUUGUAGGUCGAUUUAGGUACUGAUUCUUGUUUGGUUAUGUUUGCAACAUCAAUACAGCCCUCUUGGGUAUCAUUCGGUGGUUGAAAAAUCUCCACCGACGGUUGUGGAUCCAUUCCGGUGGAAAACGCUAAGGAAAUCUUAGAGAGAAGGGAAAGAAUCAAUUGAAUACUUCUAAUCAAAUUUUGUAAAUGAAAAUUCUGGAUGAAGUAAUAAAGCACAGGAAGUCUCUAUAUGUUAAAGGAAGUUAUGAUGUUACCACUAAUGUUGCGUUAUUUGAUUUUUCUCACGAGCUCACUAUAAAUUUGAUGCAUAUGGUGAAGGUUCAUGAGCUUCUUAUCUAUAGCCUAAGCUUGUUAUUUUAAAAAAAUAUUCUUAAUGAAAUAAGGAUUUUCAUAAACAUGAGGCUUUCAUUAUAAGCAUAAAUUCUUUGCAUACAAAGCCUAUUUCUCUCUGCUCCAAUUAAUCUUCUAAGUGAAGUCUUUAAUCGACGAUAUCUUUCGAAUCUUGAAGGUCAUUAUGUGUUGAUCUUCCAUGAACUUCAUGAUUCUUCAUCUUCAUAAGAAAGGUGUAGCUUGAACAUAUGUAAUUAAACUUCCUUGAAGUGUGAAGAGCAUGUUAUUAAGCUUCAAGCAUUCCUUCUAAACUUUCUCCAAGCCUCUUAUGCAGUGACUCAUUGAGAAGCUCUUGAACUUCUUAGCUUGUCUUAACGUGCAUAGAUCAAGCUUUCCCUUGUAUUUCUAGCCUCUAUAUAUCUAUGAGAGUGUUUGGCAAAAUAUAUGUAUGAACUUUGUAGAAGGACUACCUACUUCUCAUGUUAAAUAUGCUAUUUUAGUUGUAGUAGAUAUACUUAGAAAGUACGCUCUCCUCAUUGUGCUUUACCAUUCUUUCACUACUGCAAGUGGAGCUCAAGUAUUCAUGGAUAAAAUCUACAAGCUUUAUUGAUUGGCUUAGCUAUUAUCACUGACAGGUAUGCUAUCUUCCUUAAUAAAUUCUAGCAAGAGUUAUGUAGUUUACAAUGAGUAGCUUUGUACUAGUUGACUACGUAUCAUCCUUAACGUCAUGGCUAGACCGAGGUUGUGAUAAAGUAUAUGGAAACAUGUUUGAGAUGUGCGUCUAGAGAGACAUAAGGAUUGGCGUGUUUGGUUGUUUUUAGUUGAUAGGUGGUAUACUAGUAAUUUUCAUUCAUAAACAAGAACUACUUUCUUAUGAGAUUUUUUAUGGAAAAUCAUCACCAUUGCAUGUAUUUUGUCUUCUUCAAACCCUUAUGAUAAAGGUUACUUACGAAGUUUACAAACAAGAGAAUCUACCCUCAAACUACUAAAAGAUCAAAUGGCUUAGUCUAGGAUUAAGUUGUAAAUUGAUAAGGGGUUAAAGAGGGUUCUAGCUAUUGGAGAUCGGUAUUCAUCAAGUAGCGAUGAAGAAAGGCUCCUAUAUUAAGAUGAGUCCAAAGAAUUUUGGUCUCUUUCAAGUGCUCAGAAGUGCUGGCAAGGUGGCCUAUCAAUUGGAUCUUCAUGCUCAUUCCAAUAUUUACAAUACAUUUAAUGUAAAUUCUACUAAAAUGAAAGAUUAUAACAAAAUGAUCUACUCCUUGUCUACGUGUUUCAUUGUCCAAUCAUGUAUAUCAUGUGACAAACAGUAAUGCACAACCUUUUGUAUUGCUAUGAUUUCUGUAAUCAUAUUAGUAGUUUCUCCAAUAUGGGUCUUCUCUAUCAUUCCAAAGGAAGAACUAUAUAGGAUCUUUUUCUUGAAUUUCCUUCCUUACGUCAUCUGUGUUUAUGUUAAUUCUACCCGUUUUCAUCUAAUAAAUUAGAUAGUGGUAUAAUCUUGGUCUAUAACUAUUGAGAAAAUUAUAUGACUACUUGUCAAUCUAUUGGAACAGAGGUUGACAUAGAUAAUUAACACUUAAUCAAUAUAUUGACGUAGAUUACACAUGGUAUACCAUCCUUUUAUAGGUAAUGUCUCAUAGAAUUUCUUCUCUUCCAUAACCCUCACAUGAUGAUUGUUGAGAUUACUUUGGAUAUGUUGUGAACUUUAAGAGAUUGUUUAGUUUUUCACCACUCUAGUCUGACUUGUUUCAAUUUCAACUCCUUAAUAUUAAAACUUGCACAAGAAGCAAACCGUCUCCAGAAUGUAGUAGCUAUUGGAGAUGAUAUAAAAAUACUCCCUCCAGAAUGUAGUAGCUAUUGGCGAUGUUAUAAAAAUACUGUAUCUUAUGGUAGCUUGUAUGUGUUUGUCACAACACCAACACCUUGAUUAAGUUUGUCGAGGCCCCUAGAGAGAACAUUAGCUAGUAUGGUGAAUAGAGUAUGAAAUAACUGAUAUCCUCACUUUAAUCAUCUAGAGGAUUUAAAAAUCGGGUGAUUUUCCAUUCACUUGUACUAAGUAUCAAUUAUUACUGAUUAUCUUCGUACUAUGUUAAUAACCACUUUGGAGAACCAAAACUUGUUGAUAACUUUAGUUAAAUAAUCCAUUAUAUCAAUAUUCUUUUACCAUAUUCAGUUUUCAAAUUGUAUUAUGUAACUUAUUUCUCUUGUUGAUAUUUCUUAUAAUCUCUUGAACCAUGAGGAUAUUCUCUAUAAUAUUUCUCCCUUUCAUAAAACCAAUUUUAUCGGUGUAGAUCAAACUUGGUAAAAUGGUACUUAAUUAAUAUCUUAUACAAACUCUAAAGAUAAUUUAAUUAGCAAAAGUAAUCAAACUAAUUAGUAUUAGAUCUGUGAAUCGUCUAUCAUCAUCUUUCAUGUGUAUAAGGCUAAAUUAGUAUGAAUGAUGAAUCUAGAAAGCUCUUAUCCAAAAAUGUAUGUCCAUACUAUAUUGGUGACAUCCUCCAUCACAAUUCUCCAAUAUGUCUUAAAGAACAGUCCUAAAAACUCAUAUGGACUAUUUGUGCUAUCACCAUUAAGCCUAUGAACUUUUUGUUUAACCUCUUUCUUCUAAUCGCCUACUAUAAAACUUGGCAACCACGUCGCCAAUAUCUUUACUUUCAGUAUUGUAGUAUCCUUCCUAUUCUAAAUUCCAUGCAUGUUGAGUCUCUUUCUUCUUUCCUUAAUAUAAGUAUGAAAAUUUAGUGUUUCAAUUACCCUCAUGAAACCACUUUAUUCAUGAUUUUUUCCUAUAAUAUUCCUUAUCUAACUUUAAGUACCUCUUCAAUUUUGUUUGUACAGAAUGAGUUCUUCUCUAUUCUAUACUACAGGCUUAUUUUUGAACUGAAUUUCUUUAACCUUUACCACUGCUUCAAGCGUAGUAUUUUGUUAAAAGAUGUUACUAAAGAUUUCUUGUAAUAAAUCUCCAGGUCAUUUUCUCAAUAUCUGCAUUUUUUUGCACUUUGAGCCUUCCCAUAGAAGUUAAAUUUUAUUUAUGACUCAUCAGAACCGUCAAUUCAAUUAUAGGCAAUUCGUUUGGCAUUUAUGAUCAUUUCCCUAUUUUAAAAUGGAGAAAUUGGUCUUGGACCAAAACCCUUAGUAAACGGUAUCGGAUGGAAAUAUUGACAACAUCAUUAGCUUUGGAAGAUUGAUUUUAGGCUAGGGGAUCCUUGGUCCCGAUCUUGAGUCUUUCUAAUUCAUUUUGGGUAAUUGGAUAGAUUUAAUAAUAUUGAUGUACGUGUGUGGGGCACUCAUAAUAAAAACAACCUUAAAUGGAAAUUUUAAUAGUUUCGUUGAGUACCAAAUGUAGAAUUCGGUAUGGUAGAAUAGGUAGUUUGCGCGAACGGUUCCAAAUGAAUCUCGAAUCCCAGGUCGAAGUACAUGAGGCCUUGGUAAAUUCUGAUGCUGUAGUUGCGGGUGUAUCCAAGCCCUGGUCUUUGCGAUUUCUAGGUUUCGCUGCAUUCGUGAUGGUCAAGGAAUCUUGACCUUCGCAUUUGCGAGCUAGCCUUUGUGAUUGGGAGGACUAAGCUGAUCGGGCCAACUAAAAUCUUCUCUUCACCUUUGAGGUAGACCAGUCAUGUUUGCGGAGGCCUAGAUUAGGCUAGCAUCGCAUUAGAAAUUCAUACCCCGCAUUUGUGAAGGGCUAUUUUAACUGGCAUCACAAUCACAACUAGGGGCCUUGGUUUCACGAAGGGUAACCCCUUGGCAAUAUAAAAUUCCCUCUUCCCUAUUACUUUAUAAUUUUCUCAUCUAUUUAAGCAAUUUCUAGCCCUAGGAACUCAAUAAACUCGCAAGGAAUCAUAAGUUUGAGUAGGAGAUGAGUAGAGGGUGUUGAGGUGAUCAUACCCCACAAAUUUCUUAGUAAGUUUCUGGCCUAAUUAUCCAUAAAUUCUUCAUUCUUCUUUAUUAUUUUUUGUAACUCUUAGGGCUGAUUUGAGCCACAAUCGAGACUCUAUUCCUGCUCAACUUUUGAGCUCACAUUCCUUAUCCAUCGAGGAACCACAUGUUGAAUUCAAUUUUGAAAUCUCAUUUGCAGCCUCACAAGCCUUUUUUGAUCCAAAUUUAGGUAAAAAAUUUUAUAUAGCAAUAUUUGUAUCUUUUUACUUGUACUAUGUGUAGAUUAUGAUUUUUAUAGCAUGACAUCAUUUUGGGAUCUUGGAGAAAUGAUGAGCAAAUUAUGGAUGGUUCAACUGUGCAGUUCACCAUCAAAGUAGAUUUUGAUUUAAUUUUCCCCAUAAUAUUAUAUAUUAUAUUGAUCGCAUGAUAGGUAGGGAUAAUAGGAUAUGUUUAUACUUGGUAAUAUCAUGACUUGACCGAUUAAGAGAGUUUAGAAUAGAAAAGUGACCCGAAUCUUAGUCUAGAAUACUCAUUAUGAUUGUAGAAGCAUAUUACAUUGGAUUAUGGACUUGUUUGACCAUAGAUUGAUAGGAAUGACCCUUUAGUAAAUGAGUUACUAUAUUACUUAGUGUAAUUGAUGGUAUUUCCCCUAUUAUAUCAUUAUAGUACCUUUGUGCCCCAGAUACCUUAGUUUUCUAAACUAUGGUGCUAGCAAAUGUAAAUUUUUAUAUAUUGUUGGGUUCGAGGCUCUGGUUAUGAUACCAGUUGGACACCAGAUUAGUACUUUAUCCUUAGAAAGGAUACAGUUAUAGGUAUAGAUAUCCAAAUGGUUACGGUUGUAUUUUCUGGAUAUUGGUGGAGGUAUGCAUAUAUUUAGGCGCAUUUAUACUUAUUUAGUAAUAUGAUUCCAGUUAAAACUUUUAUUUUAUUAUUUUUCUAAAAAGGGAUUUAUUCCCAAGUUUCUUAACUUUAAAAUUUAUUCUUUGAAAAUGAAAGUUGUACCACCCUUAUCAUUAAUUUAUGACAUCUUAAACUUAACAUAUUACUUUGGAAAUUUGAUCAAGGCAGAUUUUGGACAAUUAUGGAUCCACUCUUUUUUACCACUACUUAUUCACCUUGUUUGAGGGAGAUUCCAACCAUUUCUACAUUACUAUGCUAUUUUUGUCCCAAAUUCAAUCUUGGGCAAUAGAUUUAAAGAUAUAUACUAAUUUAGUUUUGCUUCAAGUCUGGCAUUUCUUAUUAUAAUUUAUAUUUCUUUGGCGUACUGGAUGAUGUAGAUUGGUCUUGAUAGUUAUUGUAAGACAUGGUUCGGGACCAGGCAAUAUAUAUAGAUAUCCUGAGUCCCUUAUAGUGUUCCUUCAUCUAAUGAGUCACGAUAUCGAAGAAGAAUGGUCGUCGUAGGUCUUGUCUUUGCGAGCUACUGAGAUGGAGGAGGUACAUACACUUGGUAUAAUUUGACACUCAAUUUAUUAUUUAUUAUUGGUUUAUAUUGAAUUUAUUCAUUAACAUGCAUUCCCUAUUAGCUAGUAUAAUUGUGUGUCGCUUGAAUCUAUCGCUCUAAUGGGGGACUGUACAGAUACAAGCUAUGGUUAUUAUUUGCUGAUUACUUUUUUGUGCCUCUCUAGGCUCCUAGGGGUCUAGUUGGGGUUAUUGGUUGUCCAGACUAUCCAUAUACUUACUGUUUAGUUAUUAUUGCAUAUUUCGUGGCGGUUUGGUUAUGAUUUGGUACGUAAGGUUUUUGGUACAAUUUUGAUCCCUUUUCUCGUGUUGCAGUGAGGUUUAUAAUUAUUAGAUCAUCCUAACACUAUGUACAUUUUUGUUUGAGAUCCUGAUUAUGCUAGAGUAAGCUCCCUCAUUAUUUAUUAUCCAGGUGAUGUAAAGUAGUUCCUUCAAAGUAGUGUCUUCAUUUUGUUUUUUUAGUAUAGCAUCAUUGUUUAUUUAUUUUGCUCUAGUUACUAUUUUUAUAUCAUUUCCUUCCUUUCUACUAUUGUUGUAUAUUGUAUAUCUCUUUCUUCACUAAACUAUCACAUAUAGUCUAUCUACUUAUGGAAUUAUGCUUCGUCCAUAAUUAAUUAUAGUAUCUAAUAGUUUACCUUACCUUUUCAUUAGCAAUUAUCAUGUGUAGUUUCCUGAGUAGUUUUCUUUAGUUUAUAUUACUGCUUGUUAUUUAUACUUGCAUUAUCUUUAGAAAUCUGGUGGCGAAUGCCUAUUAUGUACCUUGUGUUUGGUACUUAUACUACACUUCUACAACCUGCAGAUCUUACUACCAGUUCUUGCUGUUGUUUGUACAUUGUGUGUAGCAACCAUGGAUUGGACAUUGGAGAUCAUAGAUGAGUUUUCAUUGUUGAUGUGUGCAUCAUGUGGAGCAAACAUGGAAUUAUUAAUUGUGUGGACAUUGUAGAUUGAUCUUGACGGAAACUAAAAGUCCUAGUUUGGGGAAAGGCAGUGCAUACGAGUUUCUCGAGUGCCCUAUGAGACCACUUCAUCCAGUGAACCAUGAUACUAAAGAAGGAUGGUUGCCAUAGGGCCUUCAUUACGAGCUACUAAACUGGAAAAGUGUUUUUUACCAUAGGUUUAGACGUACGCCCCCAGAGCAUUAUUAGCGGUUCAGACAUUCAGCCAGCAGUAGUAGACUAGCAGUGAGUUCUCAUCAUUCAAGGAUAUUCUUUUAUUUCAUUAUCUCAUUAGAUUCAAUAUUUCAAUAGAUGGA